CACAGAUACUCUUCUGUCUUCUAAUACUUGUUUUUGCUUGUACAUUUUAAGGACCCUCAAUAAAAUGGUAGCCGACCACCCCGAGUGCUGGGACAGUUACCUGCAGGCGACCAUGUUUGGCAUCCGGACGAAAAAAUAACUCACCACAAAAUACAGUCCAUACUUUUUGAUGUUUUGGCGGGACGCACACUAUCCCUCCCAAAUACGAAAUAACAGAGGACAAGGUACAUAAUGUUAUACAAAACGAAGACAUCAUUGAAAACCUCAAACUUCAACAACUGACUUAUGAGGAUGUACAGAACAACAUAAAGAAAAGCCAGGAGAAGACCAGGAAACGGAAACUUGAAAGCAGCCACACUGACCAUUUUCAAGUCGGGGACCUCAUGCUGCGUAAAAACAUUCGCAAAAAGCAAAGUAAAGAGGGGAAACUUGCGGGACAUGCUAGUGCCAUUUAAAAUUGUCCAGCUAGAGGGGAAAAGUGUCCUUCUUGGGUGAAAGCAGCAAAAUUCUACCCAAAAUCAACAUCGACCAUUUAAUUCACCAUGUCCAGCCAGAGGAGAGGAUCCCAAGAAAGUUACAAAAACUGGAUCUCUCUGGCAUCUCCCUCUGCAUCGGCCAGUGGAGGGAGAGAACGUUCCAAGGAUGCAGAAAGUUAGCACCCAUACACAGGCACAUUUUGGUCCUGGGAAGGUGGACAUGCGCCAUUAUUGCACAUCCUAUUCAGAGGGAUGCAACAUCAUGUGGCAUCUCUGUAUGCAAGCUGGCAGAGAAAAUUCUUGGCCACUGCACAAUACAGUACGCUGUACACAAGGAGGCAGUGGCAGCAAUGCUUAUGAAGAUUGAAGUGUCUUUGCUGGAAAACACAGGCAUUUACUACUAGGUAAAAAUACAAUCCUUUCAAUGUCGUGCGUAAGGCUACAGCUAUGUUUGGUGUUUACAGAUGACCUAUCCCAGUUUUGUCGGGCCUGUGGUAGUGGAAGUUCUGAGGCUAGUAUUGAUGAUUGGAUUAAGUGGUCAGGCUGCAGGCGGUGGCACCACAGCACCUGUGUCAAUAAUCCUUCUGCAGCAGCGGACUACUUCUGUGGAGUGUGCAUUUGAACUAUAAUCAAACAAUAAUAUAGAUAUGUAAAAGAACACUUUUACACACUCCCACAGCCCCAAAGAUGCUGCAGCAACCAUUUCAAAUGUGUAUUUUGCUUUUUCUGUAAUCUCAUCCUGCCCCACCAAACACCCAACGUUAUUAAGAUGUUUUGUUUGUUUGGUUUUUUUUUUUUUUCAGGCUAAAUCUAGCUGGUCCAUCAUCACAGCCUUUGUUUAGUCAAAAGAUAGUCGUAGAGAACUGAGCUAUGCCGUGGUCCAGAUUUAACCCAAUAAUAGUCAGUCAAAAUAUGACCAUAUAAUAGAGACGUAUUUUCAACUACCUGAAGGCUUUUCACCUGUCAUUUUUCAUUUAAAUCAAGAUUAGAUGUUGUUUAAACGUCUAUAGAAAGAUUCAAAUGUGUUUUCAACUAACUUUUGCUGGGUGGAGCAUGUUAAAUUUGUUAUAUUUUUGAUGUGUAAUGUUUACCUUGUAUAUUUAGUCCCUCCAUCACAUUAAAACCAUACACACUGUGUGUGUUUUUUGAUUUUUAUCCUGGUCUUAGUCCUUCCAAAAGCAACGGUGUACACAUGUAAAUAGAAUUAUUAUGGUUCAUUAUUGCUAAUUUGGUCAUAUUGUAUUAAGGUGUUACUUGCACAUUUAUUUUCUUCCUUUG